rnacentral:rRNA from 1 species
AUUGAACGCUGGUGGCAGGCCUAACCCAUGCAAGUCGAGCGAGCGGCGGACGGGUGAUUAAUGUCUGGGAACCUGCCUGAUGGAGGGGGAUAACUACUUGAAACGGUAGCUAAUACCGCAUACCAUCAGAUGUGCCCAGAUGGGAUUAGCUAGUAGGUGGGGUAACGGCUCACCUAGGCGACGAUCCCUAGCUGGUCUGAGAGGAUGACCAGACACACAGGAACUGAGACACGGUCCAGACUCCUACGGGAGGCAGCAGUGGGGAAUAGUGCACAAUGGGAGCAAGCCUGAUGCAGCCAUGCCGAGUGUGUGAAGAAGGCCUUCGGGUUGUAAAGCACUUUCAGCGGGGAGGCGUUACCCGCAGAAGAAGCACCGGCUAACUCCGUGCCAGCAGCCGCGGUAAUUC